GAUGAACGCUGGCGGCGUGCCUAACACAUGCAAGUCGAACGGAGAAUUUACGCUGAUGAAGCUUCGGCAGAUUCUUGUAAAUUCUUAGUGGCGGACGGGUGAGUAACGCGUGGGCAACCUGCCUCAUACUGGGGGAUAACAGCUGGAAACGACUGUUAAUACCGCAUAAGCGCACGGUAUCGCAUGAUACAGUGUGAAAAACUCCGGUGGUAUGAGAUGGGCCCGCGUCAGAUUAGCCAGUUGGCAGGGUAACGGCCUACCAAAGCGACGAUCUGUAGCCGGCCUGAGAGGGCGGACGGCCACAUUGGGACUGAGACACGGCCCAAACUCCUACGGGAGGCAGCAGUGGGGGAUAUUGCACAAUGGAGGAAACUCUGAUGCAGCGACGCCGCGUGAGUGAAGAAGUAUUUCGGUAUGUAAAGCUCUAUCAGCAGGGAAGAAAGACUCGUAAGAGAGAUGACG
rnacentral:rRNA from 2 species